rnacentral:rRNA from 1 species
CAGCCGCCGCGGUAAUACAGAGGGUGCGAGCGUUAAUCGGAUUUACUGGGCGUAAAGCGUGCGUAGGCGGCUUUUUAAGUCGGAUGUGAAAUCCCUGAGCUUAACUUAGGAAUUGCAUUCGAUACUGGGAAGCUAGAGUAUGGGAGAGGAUGGUAGAAUUCCAGGUGUAGCGGUGAAAUGCGUAGAGAUCUGGAGGAAUACCGAUGGCGAAGGCAGCCAUCUGGCCUAAUACUGACGCUCAUGCACGAAAGCGUGGGGAGCAAACAGGAUUAGAUACCCCGGUAGUCCCUGUCUCUUAUAC